GACCAUGUGGACCUUGUGGACCUUGCGGACCAUGUGGACCCUGUGGACCAUGUGGACCUUGUGGACCAUGCAUACCAUGUGGUCCAUGUGGACCAUCCGGACCAUGUGUGCCUUGCAGUCCAUGCGGACCGUGUGGACCUUGUGAACCAUAUCUUGCUUGCACCAGCGCAGCAGUCAUCUUGCAGCGAGCAAGAAUGGCCCGUCGCAUGCGACUGAAAAAUGCGUUCAUGUACGAUUGAAGCCAACGAGCUGGACCGACAACUGAAACCAGUUGAUGGUGCCUUGAUGCCUUACCUUGAUAUCUUCCAAAUCCAACGAACUUACGCCGCUGGAUUCGCUACCAACUGGUGACAGCGGGUUCUUGAUGCUGCUGCGAAAGUCGAUGCUCACGGGAGAAAUCGGCGAAAGCAGUCCGAAUCCUUCCAGGAGGUCACCUACGCCCGACAUCGGCACAGCAAUGUUGAGAGCCAUC